AUUAAUAUAGUAUAAAUAAUUAUAAUUAAUUUCCAAUUAAAAGAUCUAUAUUUUUUAGUGUUAAUA
rnacentral:tRNA from 1 species